rnacentral:rRNA from 1 species
CGUAGGGACCGAGCGUUGUCCGGAUUCAUUGGGCGUAAAGAGCUCGUAGGCGGCCACUCAAGUCGAAUGUGAAACCUCGAGGCUUAACCUCGAGCCUGCAUUCGGUACUGGGCGGCUAGAGUCUGGUAGGGGGAUCUGGAAUUCCUGGUGUAGCGGUGGAAUGCGCAGAUAUCAGGAGGAACACCGGUGGCGAAGGCGGGAUCCUGGGCCAGUACUGACGCUGAGGAGCGAAAGCGUGGGGAGCAAACAGGAUUAGAUACCCUGGUAGUCCACGCCGUAAACGAUGGGCGCUAGGUGUGGGAGGUCAUCGACUCCUUCCGUGCCGCAGCUAACGCAUUAAGCGCCCCGCCUGGGGAGUACGGCCGCAAGGCUA